rnacentral:rRNA from 1 species
AAAGUUGUUCUCAGUUCGGAUUGUAGUCUGCAACUCGACUACAUGAAGCUGGAAUCGCUAGUAAUCGUAGAUCAGCAUGCUACGGUGAAUACGUUCCCGGGUCUUGUACACACCGCCCGUCACACCACGAGAGUUUGUAACACCCGAAGCCGGUGGAGUAACCAUUUUGGAGCUAGCCGUCGAAGGUGGGACAAAUGAUUGGGGUGAAGUCGUAACAAGGUAGCCGUAUCGGAAGGUGCGGCUGGAUCACCUCCUUUCUAAGGA